rnacentral:tRNA from 1 species
GCCAGAAUAGCUCAGUUGGUCAGAGCAUCGCAUUCGUAACGCGAAGGUCGUGGGUUCGACUCCCACUUCUGGCU